AUGUCAAGUGUCGCCGAGGCAACCUGCAUGUUCAUCCCACUUGAUGAAGACACAUUAGUCUCCAAGCAACUGCAUGCAUUCUGGGAGCUUGAGUCUCUGGGUAUUCUAAGCGAGAAAACACAGAACCCAGAGGAAAACGAGGCUCUACAAAGUUUUGAGGAAACAACCACCUUCAAAGAUGGGCGAUACCAUGUGGAGUUGCCAUGGAAACGAGAAAUGCCAGAACUCCAAGACAACUAUAGAAUCGCCAAGAAACGGUUUGAAGGUCUGAAGAAAAGGCUGAAGAAGGAUGUGACGUUGUACAGCAGAUACAAUGAAGUAGUAGAAGACUACUUACAACAAGAUAUGGCAGAGGACGUGCCCAAGGACAACGCAUCAAGUGCAGACAACGUAAAAUACUACUUACCUCACCAUGCAGUACUCCGAGAAGAUAAGGUGACAACAAAACUGAGAGUGGUGUUUGAUGCCUCGUCCCAUGAAGAUGGCUGUCCAUCCCUCAAUGACUGUCUACUCACAGGACCGAACCUGAAUCCGGAUCUGCUCAGCGUUCUGAUAAAGUUCAGACUACAUGAGAUCGCAGACAUCAAGAAAUCUUUCCUGCAGAUAUCCCUAGCAGAGAGAGACAGAGACGCCGUGAGAUUUCUAUGGCUCACAGGCCCACCAAGGGGAGAAAAUGAAGAGGAGCUGCGUGUGCUGAGGAUGAAAAGAGUGGUAUUUGGAGCUUCCCCAAGUCCAUUGUUGCUGGCAGCUACAAUCAGGAAGCACCUGAAACAAUAUGAAACAGAACAACCAGAAGUUGUAGAGAUACUGAGAGAGUCACUCUACGUAGAUGAAUUCAUUGCAAGAUCACGCAAUGUUGAAGAGGCUUACCUUGUGACAACAACUGCAAAGCGAAUGCUGUCGAUUGCAGGCAUGGACCUCUGCAAAUGGAUGACCAAUUCUCCUGAAUUGAAAACAAAAUGGGAGGAGAGUACGACAACUGACCACCCGUUGACGUUACAAACACAAGGAUUAGUGCUGAAGGUUUUAGGUUUAGUAUGGAGGCCGGAAACGGAUGACUUUGUGUUUGACCUCAGACCGCUACUGAGCAUUCUAAAGCAAAAGGAAAACACAAAGAGAAGUGUUCUGCAGUCGUCUGCACGUAUCUUCGACCCUCUUGGUUUCUUAGCUCCCUUCACCAUCAGGAUCAAGUGCAUGUUCCAGGAAAUGUGGGAGACGCGACUCAGCUGGGACGAAGAAUUACCACCUGAUCUGACACGAGAAUGGCAACAGUGGUGUUCAGAACUACCGCAGUUACACCAGCUCACCAUACCAAGGUGGUACAGAACAGACAUGCGGCCACAGAAUAACCACACCCUGAAACUACACGUGUUCUGUGAUGCAAGUGAAAGGGCUUACAGUGCAUAG
ensembl:lncRNA